rnacentral:lncRNA from 11 species
UAGUAAUAAUAAUAAGAUGAUGAUGAUGGCCGGGGACAGAUCAUCCAUCCUCCUGCUCCUCCUCACCUGAGCCCAUCCAAGAGGCCUUCCUCUCCAUCCGCAGCCACAGCGAGAGGCGCUUCCUUCCUGGCUUCCCUGGCGCUGACUGAGAGAAAGCAGCAGGAGAAGCAGCAGCGAGGAGGCGGAGGGGGCGUGGCUUGCGAGAGGCUCCUCCCCCUCCAAAGCCUUUUCCUUCUCCGCUUCUCUCUCUCGCCUUCCGCGCAGGAAGGACCAGGGACGGUGUUACCAUGGCAACCGAAAAGGAGCCCUUUUCCGGGAUGCCUUCGCUCCAUUUCCGCUCGAAGUUUCUGGAGUAGAACAACUCCGCUCCAACUGCUGUUCGCCGCCGUUGUCUUGGCUCUUUGUGCCAUUCCAUGACGUGGACCUUCUUGUGACGACUUCACCCUUUGGACCUGGGACUGGAACUCAACUCGGCUUAUCUCUUCGCUCCCAAACUCGGCUUGGUGUCAUUCCCGUCUCUGUGGCUGUCUACUGUUGCUGACUACUGGCUUUGUUUCCGACCCUGACGCGUUCUUAUCCCGACUUCGGACCGGCUUGACUACGUUACAGCGUUCUGCUCCUUUAAUUCCUGGCUCGGCGUUUGUCUCUGCAGCGGUUUGCCGCUAACUCUACAGCGUCUUCCAGUUUCGCUUGUUUUUGCCACUCACAGCAAAGAGCUUUUUAGCCCGGUUUGGGUUUUUGUUUCAGUUUGGAAUCGCUGUUGUACUUCUGGGUUUUGGGAAAGUUUUUGGGGCUUCAUAACUGUUUGCCUUUGUUUGUUUUGCCAUUUUAAGCCCAUUUUGAGCUUUUGGGUUGAGUUCAAGUACCUUAUGUUAAAUCCGGAUUAUAUCUCUGGUAAUCCGGAUUAUAUGCCAAUUAAUGCUUUUGGCGUUUUUCCUGCUUUGACUGCCUGAUAACACUGUAGAUAAGUGUUUCUAGUCUCUGUUAAUUUACUGAACUAUUUUUGGACUAUUACUUUAAUAAACUAUAUUUUGGCUCUCAGUUGGCGUCUGACCUUUGACAAGGUUGGUUGCAUUGUGUCUUAGCCUCUGUGGACUAUCAGUGAAAAAAGUAAGUACAGGCAGUUCCCAGGUUUCAAAUGGGGUUUAUGACUAUCGAUGCCACUUUGUUUAAAGGACACCAGCAAUAUAGAAAAUGAAGCUUGGAAGGAAAAAAGAAGCCAAAACUGCUGUUCUGUUAGCUGAUAGCAUAAAGUGAUUUUCUGAAGAUGCUAUUGCCAACUGGCACCGUGCAUUUCUGGCAAUGGGAAAAGUGUGACUAUGAAAAUAAAAACUGGC